rnacentral:rRNA from 1 species
AUUGAACGCUGGCGGAAUGCUUUACACACGCAAGUCGAACGGUAGAGGGGGCAACCCCUUGAGAGUGGCGAACGGGUGAGUAAUAUAUCGGAACGUGCCCAGUCGUGGGGGAUAACGUAGCGAAAGCUACGCUAAUACCGCAUACGAUCUAUGGAUGAAAGCGGGGGAUCGCAAGACCUCGCGCGAUUGGAGCGGCCGAUAUCAGAUUAGGUAGUUGGUGAGGUAAAGGCUCACCAAGCCGACGAUCUGUAGCUGGUCUGAGAGGACGACCAGCCACACUGGGACUGAGACACGGCCCAGACUCCUACGGGAGGCAGCAGUGGGGAAUUUUGGACAAUGGGCGCAAGCCUGAUCCAGCAAUGCCGCGUGCAGGAUGAAGGCC